UGUCAGGACUCAGCUGGCAGGGCCAUGCAGCCUGUUGCCAUCUUUGCUUCGUCCACAGGUGUUCGCGGUUGGCUGGUGGGCGGAGUAGGCGCACCUGCAGCUCGUCAGCAGCACCGGAGCUGCACUAUAAGAUCUGCACUCGGACAGCGGGUGGAUGCCUGAGUGUUACCGUUGUGGUACCUCCUCGUGCUCCUUCGUCCUCCUUCGAGCUCCUCAGUCCUUCUCGUGUUGCCUCUUGGGAUUUCCCCGUUCAUCUUGAGUGGAGCCUUGCUUCUCGGACGAGACGCACUCCCGACGACUCCCAGGUUCCAUCCGCUGUCCUGAAUCCUCCGGUGCUGCUCGGACCUCUCGCCCCGCUCUCAGCCGCCCGGACACCUACGACCAACAUUCAGCUGAGUCCACACUGCCGUCCUCCCCGGUCGGGUUUCUUGCACCUCGUGAUCGACCUGGUCCCCGCCGCCCGAGUUCCUGCCCGAGUAUCUUCCAGCCCGCAGAUUAGCUUCGCCGCUUAGCAUUCUCGC